rnacentral:rRNA from 1 species
UGGGGAAUAUUGCACAAGUGGGGGAAACCCUGAUGCAGCGACGCCGCGUGAAGGAAGAAGUAUCUCGGUAUGUAAACUUCUAUCAGCAGGGAAGAUAAUGACGGUACCUGACUAAGAAGCCCCGGCUAACUACGUGCC